GAUGAACGCUGGCGGCGUGCCUAAUACAUGCAAGUCGAGCGAACAGAUGAGGAGCUUGCUCCUCUGACGUUAGCGGCGGACGGGUGAGUAACACGUGGAUAACCUACCUAUAAGACUGGGAUAACUUCGGGAAACCGGAGCUAAUACCGGAUAAUAUAUUGAACCGCAUGGUUCAAUAGUGAAAGACGGUUUUGCUGUCACUUAUAGCUGGAUCCGCGCCGCAUUAGCUAGUUGGUAAGGUAACGGCUUACCAAGGCAACGAUGCGUAGCCGACCUGAGAGGGUGAUCAGCCACACUGGAACUGAGACACGGUCCAGACUCCUACGGGAGGCAGCAGUAGGGAAUCUUGGGCAAUGGGCGAAAGCCUGACGGAGCAACGCCGCGUGAGUGAUGAAGGUCUUCGGAUCGUAAAACUCUGUUAUUAGGGAAGAACAAAUGUGGAAGUAACUAUGCAUGUCUUGACGGUACCUAAUCAGAAAGCCACGGCUAACUACGUG
rnacentral:rRNA from 1 species